UACGAAGGGGGCUAGCGUUGUUCGGAAUCACUGGGCGUAAAGGGCGCGUAGGCGGCUUUAUAAGUCGGGGGUGAAAGCCUGUGGCUCAACCACAGAAUUGCCUUCGAUACUGUAGAGCUUGAGACCGGAAGAGGUAAGUGGAACUGCGAGUGUAGAGGUGAAAUUCGUAGAUAUUCGCAAGAACACCAGUGGCGAAGGCGGCCUGCUGGGCUGUUGCUGACGCUGAGGCGCGGACAGCGUGGGGAGCAAACAGG
rnacentral:rRNA from 1 species